rfam:Mesocricetus auratus contig234983, whole genome shotgun sequence.
GAGGAGAUGGUUCAGCAGGUUAAGAGCACUUGUCUUGCAAGCAUGAGGACGCAAGUUCAAAUCCCCUCGUCC